rnacentral:rRNA from 1 species
UACGUAGGGGGGCAAGCGUUGUCCGGAUUUAUUGGGCGUAAAGAGCUUGUAGGCGGUCUGUCGCGUCUGCUGUGAAAAUCCGGGGCUCAACCUCGGGUCUGCAGUCGAUACGAGCAAACUAGAGUGUUGCAGGGGAGACUGGAAUUCCUGGUGUAGCGGUGAAAUGCGCAGAUAUCAGGAGGAACACCAAUGGCGAAGGCAGCUCGCUGGGACGGUACUGACGCUGAGACGCGAAAGCGUGGGGAGCAAACAGG